GGUAGUCCACGCCGUAAACGAUGUCGAUUUGGAGGUUGUGCCCUUGAGGCGUGGCUUCCGGAGCUAACGCGUUAAAUCGACCGCCUGGGGAGUACGGCCGCAAGGUUAAAACUCAAAUGAAUUGACGGGGGCCCGCACAAGCGGUGGAGCAUGUGGUUUAAUUCGAUGCAACGCGAAGAACCUUACCUGGUCUUGACAUCCACAGAACCUGGCAGAGAUGCCGGGGUGCCUUCGGGAACUGUGAGACAGGUGCUGCAUGGCUGUCGUCAGCUCGUGUUGUGAAAUGUUGGGUUAAGUCCCGCAACGAGCGCAACCCUUAUCCUUUGUUGCCAGCGGUCCGGCCGGGAACUCAAAGGAGACUGCCAGUGAUAAACUGGAGGAAGGUGGGGAUGACGUCAAGUCAUCAUGGCCCUUACGACCAGGGCUACACACGUGCUACAAUGGCGCAUACAAAGAGAAGCGACCUCGCGAGAGCAAGCGGACCUCAUAAAGUGCGUCGUAGUCCGGAUUGGAGUCUGCAACUCGACUCCAUGAAGUCGGAAUCGCUAGUAAUCGUGAAUCAGAAUGUCACGGUGAAUACGUUCCCGGGCCUUGUACACACCGCCCGUCACACCAUGGGAGUGGGUUGCAAAAGAAGUAGGUAGCUUAACCUUCGGGAGGGCGCUUACCACUUUGUGAUUCAUGACUGGGGUGAAGUCGUAACAAGGUAACC
rnacentral:rRNA from 1 species